rfam:Brachypodium distachyon strain Bd21 chromosome 3, whole genome shotgun sequence.
AGCUAUGAUGAGCAUUGCUUUCUUUCUGACACCUCUUGUAUGAGAAGCGCGCCUCUCUUUUGAGAAGUGCUCUUCGCUGAGCAGAGCAAGCAAAUGUCUGAGCU